AUUGAACGCUGGCGGCAUGCCUUACACAUGCAAGUCGAACGGCAGCACGGGAGCUUGCUCCUGGUGGCGAGUGGCGAACGGGUGAGUAAUACAUCGGAACGUACCCUGAAGUGGGGGAUAACGUAGCGAAAGUUACGCUAAUACCGCAUAUUCUGUGAGCAGGAAAGAGGGGGAUCGCAAGACCUCUUGCUUUAGGAGCGGCCGAUGUCGGAUUAGCUAGUUGGUGAGGUAAAGGCUCACCAAGGCGACGAUCCGUAGCGGGUCUGAGAGGAUGAUCCGCCACACUGGGACUGAGACACGGCCCAGACUCCUACGGGAGGCAG
rnacentral:rRNA from 1 species